UACGGAGGAUGCGAGCGUUAUCCGGAUUUAUUGGGUUUAAAGGGUGCGUAGGCGGACGCUUAAGUCAGCGGUAAAAUUGCGGGGCUCAACCUCGUCGAGCCGUUGAAACUGGGUGCCUUGAGUGGGCGAGAAGUACGCGGAAUGCGUGGUGUAGCGGUGAAAUGCAUAGAUAUCACGCAGAACUCCGAUUGCGAAGGCAGCGUACCGGCGCCCAACUGACGCUGAAGCACGAAGGCGUAGGUAUCGAACAGG
rnacentral:rRNA from 1 species